rnacentral:rRNA from 1 species
UACGAGAGGCCCAAACGUUAUUCGGAAUUACUGGGCUUAAAGAGUCCGUAGGCGGCGCGGAAAGUGGGGUGUGAAAGCCCUCGGCUCAACCGAGGAAUUGCGCUCCAAACUACCGUGCUUGAGGAACCUAGAGGUGAGCAGAACUGAUGGUGGAGCGGUGAAAUGCGUUGAUAUCAUCAGGAAUACCGGAGGCGAAGGCGGCUCACUGGGGGUUUUCUGACGCUGAGGGACGAAAGCCAGGGUAGCGAACGGGAUUAGAAACCCCCGUAGUCC